rnacentral:lncRNA from 1 species
UUUCUUCAAAGCUUUCACUCAACUGGAUCCAAAUUGCAAAAAAUGUAUCCCAAGUCUUUUAAUUGAUCCUCCGAUUAUCGCUACUCCUUUGACAUAAACUCCUUUCUUUAAAGCUUUCACUCUGCUGAAAUUAAAUUGCAAAGACUUGUGCAAAAAAAAAACUAAAUGACCCUUGAUCUUGGAGGGAAAACCCUAACCGGUUUUACCAAUGACCCCC